GGAGCCUGACAUCCUGGGCUCCUGUCUCUGUCCCCAAACAUGCUCAUACCUCCUCUCGCCACAGCCGGCCUGGUGCCUGAUUCCACUCUGUGGUCUCUGCCCCUGCAGGAGGGCUCCCCAGGGCCUGAGCCGUUCAAUGGGCCCCCAGAACCUCCAUCUGUGCCCUACUCUCUGGCGACCUUGGAUCAGCAGCUGACUGGUUCUCUUUCUGGGGAGCCCCACAGGACCCUUGUCCUGCCCAGCAUAUGCUCAAGUCUGCUGCUCCAGCCCUGUGCCACCCCUGACCCUCUUCUACUGCAGCCACAGGUCCUGGGAAAGAAGCGGGCUCCAGACCCUG
rnacentral:lncRNA from 1 species